UACGUAGGGUGCAGGCGUUAAUCGGAAUUACUGGGCGUAAAGCGUGCGCAGGCGGUUUCUUAAGUCUGAUGUUAAAGACUGGGGCUCAACCUCGGAAAUGCAUUGGAUACUGGCAGACUUGAGUGUGGUAGAGGUAAUCGGAAUUCCAGGUGUAGCGGUGAAAUGCGUAGAUAUCUGGAAGAACACCGGUGGCGCAAGCGGAUUGCUGGGCCAUAACUGACACUGAGGAACGAAAGCUAGGGGAGCGAAUGGG
rnacentral:rRNA from 1 species